rnacentral:rRNA from 1 species
AACGAACGCUGGCGGCGUGCUUAACACAUGCAAGUCGAGCGGUAAGGCCCUUUCGGGGGUACGACGAGCGGCGAACGGGUGAGUAACACGUGGGUGACCUGCCCUCAGCUCUGGGAUAAGCCUGGGAAAACCGGGUCUAAUACUGGAUAUGACUCCAUGACGCAUGUUGUGGGGUGGAAAGCCUUGUGCGGCUGAGGAUGGGCCCGCGGCCUAUCAGCUUGUUGGUGGGGUGANGG